CCUACGGGUGGCUGCAGUGGGGAAUAUUGCACAAUGGGGGAAACUCUGAUGCAGCGACGCCGCGUGAGUGAAGAAGUAAUUCGUUACGUAAAGUUCUAUCAGCAGGGAAGAAAAUGAUGGUACCUGCGUAAGAAGCCCCGGCUACCUACGUGCUAGCAGCCGCGGUAAUACGUAGGGGGCAAGCGUUAUCCGGAUGUAUGGGGUGUAAGGGGAGCGUAGACGGUGCGCCAAGUCUGAAGUGAAAUGCCGCCGCUUAAUUGCGGAACUGCUUUGGAAACUGGCGAACUAGAGUGCGGGAGGGGGAAGCGGAAGUCCGAGGGUAGCGGUGAAAUGCGUAGAUAUUAGGAGGAACACCGGGGGCGAAGGCG
rnacentral:rRNA from 1 species